AUGGUGAAAUCAGAAAAGGAUCCUAAGGUUGAAGAGUUGAAGGCAAAGUGCAUGCAUUGCCACAAUUUAUACAUAUAUGUUCAAGGUUCAAGCACCACAACACUUAAUAGGCAUAUGAAGAAGUGUAAGAUCUUCAAGAACAAGGUUGCGACGAAACUUAUACAAUCACGGCUUGGGUACAAGCCGUCCAAUGUUAGAGGUGAAUCCGGUCUUCCUCUAGGUGUGCCAUCCAAUGGGUAUGAGCACACAACUAUGAAGGAGUUGAUUGCAAAAAUGGUGGCUGUCCAUAACUACUCAUUCAGGAUGGUGGAACAUGAGUGGUUCAAUAUUGUGAUGAAGUACUCGAACCCGCUAUAUCAAGAAAUUGGUAGGAAGGCAAUAAGAGCUGAGUGUUUGAGGGUUUUCAAUAAAGAGAAGGAAAUCCUUAAGGCAGCCCUGAAGAAUGUGGACCACAUUAGUCUCACUACAGAUAUGUGGACAAGUAACCAAACCAUUUCUUAUAUGUGUGUAGUGGCACACUAUAUAGAUAAACAUUGGAGGAUGCAGACUCGUGUGCUUGCGUUCAUGGAGUUGGACCCCCCUCAUAGCGGAAACGUCAUGGCUGUUGCGUUGUUUGAAUGUGUGACUGAAUGGAAGAUAGAAAACAAGAUAGUGUCCAUCACACUAGACAAUGCAUCAAACAAUGAUUCAGCUGUUAGAGAUUUGAAGGCAAUGUUUUCUGUUCGAAGAGGGACAGACUUUGAAGCCAAAUAUUUCCAUGUCCGGUGUUGUGCUCACAUUGUCAACUUGGUAGUGCAGGAUGGGACAGCCUGCAUGAGCACUUUGGUAACGAACCUAAGGGAGACAGUGAAGUACUUCAAGAAGUCCCCUUCCCGGCUGCACAAAUUUGUUGAGAUUUGCAGGAGUUUAGGCCUUAAAAUUGGAGCGCAUUUGACCCUAGAUGUUUGCACGAGGUGGAGUUCUACAUACAAGAUGUUGGAAACUGGCCGACCAUAUAGGCAAGCCUUGGUGUCUUAUGCUGAUUCGGAUGCCAACUACAAGUGGAAGCCUACAAACAAAGAAUGGGAUAUGUUUCAGCUUAUUGAACCAUUGUUGUUUGCUUUUGCUAGAGUGACUACAGCCUUUUCGGGUCAAUCAUAUCCCACCGCCAACAUAUUUUACCCCCACAUUGUGAGUAUCAAAAUUGCUUUGAGAAAAGCCAUGGUUCAUAAGGACAAAACCUACAAUGCUAUGGGACAUGCUAUGAUGGACAAGUUCAACAAAUAUUGGGAAGAACCAAACAAUGUCAUGGUUCUUGCCACUUUCCUGGAUCCAAGGUACAAAAUGAAGUACGUGGAUUGGUGCUUUGGGCAGAUCUAUGAUGAGGAUAAGGCUGAAACUGAGUUGUCUGCAUUCAAGAAAGAUUUGGACAAGUUGUAUGAGAAAUUUGAUUCUCAAAAGAGGCAAGCUGAACCUCAAUGCAAGAAUACUUGCAAUACAAGUACCUCAAUGCCACCUGCAGAUUCUGAGUUUCUCUCAUUCUUAUCAUCCACUUCUACAAAACGAUCUAAGAGUGAAUUGAGAAACUAUACGGAUGAUGCAAAUGAGGGUAUGGUUGCCACUUUCAAUCUGCUAGAGUGGUGGAAGGUGAAUGCACUUAGGUAUCCUGUGUUGGCAAACAUGGCAAGAAGAUUCUUAACUAUCCCUGCUAGCUCGGUGUCUUCUGAAUCCAGUUUUAGCACCGGUGGAAGAAUUCUGGAUGAUUAUCGAAGCUCUCUAAAACCAUACAUGGUGGAGGCCUUGGUGUGUGGCGGAAGCUAUAUCAAGGGUGCGCACAAAGACUUAAAUGUGUUGGAUGUGGAAGAAGAUGAUGAGGAGGAGGAUGUGGAGAAGGUCAAAUUGCCUAAAAGUGUGGCAGAUUGCAACUACUAG
rnacentral:rRNA from 1 species